UCCUGGCUUAGGACGAACGCUGGCGGCGUGCCUAAUACAUGCAAGUCGAACGGUCUUUUCUAUGGAAGCUUGCUUCCACUGAGAAGAUAGUGGCGAACGGGUGAGUAACACGUGGGUAACCUGCCCAUAAGAGGGGGGAUAACAUCCGGAAACGGGUGCUAAUACCGCAUAGUUUUCUUGAUCGCAUGAUCGGGAAAGGAAAGACGGCCUUUGUGCUGUCGCUUAUGGAUGGACCCGCGGCGUAUUAGUUAGUUGGUGAGGUAACGGCUCACCAAGACGAUGAUACGUAGCCGACCUGAGAGGGUGAUCGGCCACAUUGGGACUGAGACACGGCCCAAACUCCUACGGGAGGCAGCAGUAGGGAAUAUUGCACAAUGGGGGAAACCCUGAUGCAAGCAACGCCGCGUGAGUGAUGACGGUCUUCGGAUUGUAAAGCUCUGUCUUCAGGGACGAUAAUGACGGUACCUGAGGAGGAAGCCACGGCUAACUACGUGCCAGCCGCCGC
rnacentral:rRNA from 1 species